GUAUUAAUAGUUCAGAGAUUAGAACGCCGGCCUUGUAAGCCGGAUGUCGGAGGUUAAAAUCCCCCUUAAUACU
rnacentral:tRNA from 1 species